UCCAGCAGUUGUCAGCUAUCCAGGCUGUGUGGUGCCCGAGAUCGUGUUACACUGUUGGCAGAGUAAACACUGCCUUACUAAGGGUUGGCUCCCAGCACUGUUUUGGUGUCUGGUGCUGAGUACUUUCAGGCAGUAUUGCAUCCCUGAGAGUGGAAUGACUCCUUGUGGAGUUGGUCCUGGUCUGGGUGCAAACAAU
rnacentral:snoRNA from 1 species